UUGUGCUUUGCAGUAAUCUGGGUGAGAAGAUGAUAGUUGUGCCAGGGUUUCAGCAGUAAAUAUAGUAGUGGUGGUUGGGUUAGGGACAGGCCAAUAGGACUUACUGACACCUUGGAAGUGAAGAGUAAGAAAAAGAGAGAGAUAAAUAAUGGAAUCAGCUGAGAGUCAUCAACUGCCAAAACUUCCAGAAGCAGGAGGAAUUGGUGACUUAGUCCUGGAGGGGCCUGCACAGCACACCCCCAAAGAAAGCCUCAUUCCUCCAAACUAAAACAUGGCAAUGCAAUUCAUCUGCUCUCUUCAUCCCAGAAAGAACUCUGCCAUCUUCCCUACCCUACCUACCACUACUGUCAUAGGAAUAGAGCAUGAGAGACCAAAUCUCCAGAAGGAAGAGAAGAAGACCUUAUGCCUCCAAUGUCUUCAUUCCUUGACCACUUUCCUCAUGGUCAGGUGAAUUCCUACUGAAAUCCUCUUUCCGGCUCUUCUAUCCCUAACAGAUGAAAUCAACCUACUGAAAUCCAGGUCUACUAGUGAAAUAAAACUAGGCAUAUUUUUUCACUGGAUGAACAUACAGCAUGAAGACAGGCACAUAUUCUGCUUGAUAAUUUCCUGUUCUGUACUUUUAACAUUUAUUUUAAAACCCUGCUUAUCCUGGAGCAAUCUAUUUCUCCAACCAAACAUGAAGCAAAUGUCUACUGUUUCCUGCGUUCCUUGUUUAGAGGGCCAGAGGUAUUAAGAUCCAGAAACAUGAUUGAGGAAAUUCCAUUUAAUUGAUAGUUUAUUGGUUGCAAAACUAUAAGCUCAUUGGAAGUAGGAAAUGUAUCUUACUGGACUUGACAUCUCCCAGAGCCCCUGGUAGAAGCUGCUGUUCAUGUUGAGCCCUCAAUGCUAUUGGGCUGAAAAAUGUUAUAAGAAUUAUCAUCUGUUUCCUAGAUGAAGAAGAGUUCAGAAUAUCCUUGAAAUAUUUAACUUCUGCAGAAAAGUGCAUGCUGUAUCAGUUUAAAAUACUAUGUAAUAUUGAUGUAGAGUUUUUCCAGUUAUGACUAGACUCUUCAUCCUAGCUUUCAAAGACUCAAUCCAGUGUCCACAAUUCACCUUGUUCAUCUUAUUUUGAGCAAUUAUGUCAUUUGGAGUCCAUUCCUCAAAUGUUCUGUUGUCCAUAACAUCCUCCUGUAUAUGAAUCCUACCUAAACUAUAUGUUCUUUUAAAAUAAAGA
rnacentral:lncRNA from 1 species